CACCUGCGCCACGAGUGGGAGCCACUUUUAUUGGGUCUAAAGCGUUCGUAGCUGGAGUAAUAAGUCUCUUGUGAAAUUGUUGCGCUUAACGUAACAUCGUGCAAGGGAAACUAUUACUCUAGAGACUGGGAAGAGAUUGGAGUAUGCCAAGGGGAGCGGUAAAAUGUUAUAAUCCUUGGUAGACUACCUGUGGCGAAGGCGCCAAUCUAGAACAGGUCUGACAGUGAGGGACGAAGGCUAGGGGAGCAAAACG
rnacentral:rRNA from 1 species